CAAACAGCCUAUGCCUGUGAGUGAUCUGCAUGUGGACAGUUUACACUGUCUGGGAGAAAACCCACCUCAGUGACCGCUGCAAAAUUUGCAGAUCCUUCAAACCUCGGAUCAAGAAGGAGCGGGACAUUUGGCUCCAAGCCAUUUUGAUGAAGUCGUCCCUGACUCCAACACGACUGCACAGCUCUGCGUCGGCACCAAGCACCGCGGCAUCUGUGCGUGGUGACCCAACGGUACCCUCUGCCAGUCGGCACUGCUCCCUGUCCACAGUACACUCUAAAAAGACGAAGAAGAGACCUUCUCUGCCAAGGCACUGGAGCAAGGCUGGGGGAGAGACUAGACCCGCGUUGUGCAGCUCUCGGUCCCCAUCGGCCUUGCAGCCUCUGACUCAAGUUGAGCGGAGUAGCCCGGCCCACUCUGAGCCGACCUCGCUGGAUGCCAGUGGCCACAUACAGGUGCCUUCCACACCGGAGGCCCUGCAGGCAGCCCGAGACGUUAUGUCUCUACCGGUACUGUCAACAGCUCCCAGGUCCAGAGGCAAGCUGCCACUCGGACCCCCACAGUCACCACCUGGAUGGUACUGGUCACGGUCGAGGGAAGAUUCCCGACGCCGUUCUUUGCACAGUGACUGUCCCGCACGCAGCCCGCACCGGUCCCCGUCAACUCCCACCAGGUUGUCUGGCUGGGUGCCAAACAGCAGGGGUUCCAGGCACUGCUCCGCCUCAAGGGAACGCAGACCUUGUGAUGAGAGCAUGCCCCUCUGAGACCGGGACAGACAGCACCGGAAGUUGUUAUCUCUGAGAAGCUAUCGUAGCCCCUCGUGGUACGGAUGUCGACGCCGCUCCCGCUCUUCGUCCCUUUCAAGGUCCCCACCACAGCACCGCUCCCGCAGCCCCAGGCGUCAAUUGCUGUCACCCCACCAUCGUGGAUCCACCCGUCGGAGCUGUUCGCGGAGCAGCCACCUCAGACAGUACUCCCGCUCCUCCAUGCCGGGAUCACGGUCUCGUGU
rnacentral:lncRNA from 1 species